rnacentral:misc_RNA from 1 species
AUAAAAGGAUGUUUAUGGACACAGGCCGGAGUGCUGGGUGAGUCACCUUCAGGGUUGGGGGGAUGGCAAGGAUGGCGAAUUGCAGUAGGGAGAAACCGGGACGUUAUAUCAGUGUAGGGAAUGCACAGUAAGGAUAUCCUUCCGCAGAAGGUGCGAAAAAAGGCGACAGGUUAAUCUGCCGCCUUUUUUCUUUCUCUUCUU